CCAAUAGCGUAUAUUAAAGUUGUUGCAGUUAAAAAGCUCGUAGUUGAAUUUCGGGGUUCUACCGUUGGUCGGGCUUUGUCUGUACUGGCGUGUAGAAUUUCUACCUUCUGGGGAACCAUCAUGUUAUUAAUUUAACGUGGUGGGAAACCAGGACCUUUACCUUGAAAAAAUUAGAGUGUUCAAAGCAGGCUUAUGUCUGAAUACAUUAGCAUGGAAUAAUAGAAUAGGACGGUGGUCCUGUUUUGUUGGUUUCUGAAUCACCGUAAUGAUUAAUAGGGAUAGUUGGGGGCAUUAGUAUUCAAUUGUCAGAGGUGAAAUUCUUGGAUUUAUUGAAGACUAACCUCUGCGAAAGCAUUUGCCAAGGAUGUUUUCAUUAAUCAAGAACGAAAGUUAGGGGAUCGAAGACGAUCAGAUACCGUCGUAGUCUUAACCAUAAACUAUGCCGACUAGGGAUCGGACGAUGUUAAUUUUUCUUGACUCGUUCGGCGCCUUACG
rnacentral:rRNA from 1 species